CAGUCGCCACGGUAAUACGUAGGGUGCAAGCGUUAAUCGGAAUUACUGGGCGUAAAGCGUGCGCAGGCGGUUUUGUAAGACAGAGGUGAAAUCCCCGGGCUCAACCUGGGAACCGCCUUUGUGACUGCAAGGCUGGAGUGCGGCAGAGGGGGAUGGAAUUCCGCGUGUAGCAGUGAAAUGCGUAGAUAUGCGGAGGAACACCGAUGGCGAAGGCAAUCCCCUGGGCCUGCACUGACGCUCAUGCACGAAAGCGUGGGGAGCAAACAGGAUUAGAUACCCCGGUAGUCCCUGUCUCUUAUAC
rnacentral:rRNA from 1 species